rnacentral:lncRNA from 1 species
CCAGGUGACCCUGUGACUCAUAGGGUCCAAUUCAUAUCCAAGAUAGAACUAUGAGGGUAACUUCACUGGUCACCCUAUGAUUAACACACGACGACUCGUAUAGAGUCACAACUCAUUGAGUCUAGUCAUGAUCAUGACACGACCCAAAUCAGGGCCUAGUCAUGUCGGACAUCUCAAGUCCAACCAGGACCAGAGAUCACCCCCAAUACCCUACCAUUACAAACCCUACACCACAUAUCAGAUGAAUUUCAAAUAUAUAAUAGGAUAGAACAAUAAAAUCCAAAGACAUGAUAGUAAGCUUAAAACCAAAGUUGAAAUCCACAACCAAUUAACCAACCCUUUUCAAUCCCAAUACCAAUACCAAUAUUAAGGUUAUCACUAAUACCGACACCACCCAUGACCAUAGUUGUUCGAUAAAGCCUCUAACCAGAAUCAAAGAACAUCCGAUCGAGACCAUAGCCAAAACCAAAACUAAAGAAAUAGCAAAAAUAAAAAGAAGUUCAUAGCAUGAAAUGGAGUCUUUCGGAACAUGGAAGCUCACCACUUCAAUCUGACUCAAAGUUGUCCCCAAAUCCAAGUCAUUGAGCAGGAGGAAUGGUAGUAUGGACAGUUCCUACAUCGCGUGGGGAUACAAUGC